rnacentral:lncRNA from 1 species
UUAUUGGGUCCCACAACAAUUAACGAAUUAAUGCAUUUCGUGUGGUAAAGUAAAGACACAAAAACAUCACUCCGCAGUUCCGUCGCACCGCCGCCGUGAAGCCACCUACCAUGAAGUCGCUAUUUUCUGAUUCAAGAAUCUCACCUAUAAUGGAAGGAGUUUUUUACUUUUUUUUUUGGUGACAAGGAGUUUUUUACUUUAAGCAAUAUGGUGGAAAUAUUGGUCCUUCUAUGCAAGAAAAUUGUUUUUGAGAUGUUGCAAUUAAGAUGUGUGGAGUGCUUUUAACAAAAAAGGAUACAGGACAAUAAAGAAACGAAGAAUUGACUGAAUUAGUGAGUUAUUUAAUUUGUUGAACUUUUCUUUCUUAUGUCUUACUACAACUAUCAGUAUAAACUCAUUGCAGGUUCACACAAUUUCAUGAGAAACACUCAUGCUUUAGAUAAGUGGAGGGUGGUGUGUGUGUGACGUGUGUGUUAGAUGUUGAGUUGCAGUAUGGAUUUCAAGCAGGAAGAAAGAUAAUCUUUGAUCGACUUGAAGAAACUCUUAGAAGCAAUGGAGUUAAAAUAAUUAGAGGAGGACAAAUGGGAAUGGAGGGAAAUAACGUCAAAUAUUUAUACAGUUAAAGAAGCUUAUAAAGUACUAAUGUCUGAAAUAGCAAGCUUAUCUAUUCCAAUUUGUUUGAGGGCACGACGUAAAUCAAUCCUUUCAAAAUUCUAUAUGUGUGGAGUUUGAUCCAUAAAAGAAUUACUAUAAAAGACAACUUAUUCAGGAAAGGAGUGAUUGGGAAGGUCGGUUGCAGUGUGGUGGUCAAGAGUAGGCGAUGCAUUUUCUGAGAGUUCAGUUUUCGUAGGUAUUAGGUGUGCAAUUUGCAACUGGAUUGGCAGAGUUCGGUUUUCACAGGUAUUAGGUGUGCAAUUUGCAACUGGAUUGGAAUUUCUACUGCUUUACAUAAGGAAUGCUUAUCUCAGUUAGAUCAGUUUACUUUACCGGGUUGCUUGACAAUGGUAGAUCUUUUCCGAUGCAAGUUUUUGUGAUUUGGUUCACAUGUGUUUGAAGCAUUUGAAAGGCAAAAAAUGGCAAAAAUUUUAACAACAAAUUGAGAAGUGGGUAUAGAUAAUAUGGCCGAGGAGGUGAAGGUGUUAUCAUGGUAUUAGUUGAAUUUUAAACUGAAUAGCACGACUUAUAAUAUAUCUCAAUGAUGUCCAAAUCCAAGGAAUUGUCUUGGUUUAUAGUGAGGUUUCACUGCUGCUAUUGGUUUGCAUGGAAAAUGUUACUGGUCUUCUUUUAUUGUGCAGUUUCACAUGUCAUUUGGGGAACAAAUAAGAAAAUUCAGCAAGGUAGGUGGAUGAUGUGGCAUGCGGCAAUUUGGAUUAUGUGGAAAGCGAGAAAUGAUGGGAUUUUUAACAAUAUAACAAAAGGAGUGGAAGAGACUGGUAGAUUUUUUCAAUUGUUGUAUCUGCUGUGAGCUGCUGUUUGUCUUUGUGAGGCUGUGCGGCUGAUGUGUUUGCUGUUCAGCUUUUGCACCUAGCCUGCUGGGGUUUCUGGUUGCUGUCUGGUUUUUGGGAGGUGUAGAUAGUAGCAGUCUGUUUGCUGUUCUUUUGCACCUAGCCUGCUCGGGCUUCUGGUUGCUGUCUG